CUGGCGGCGUGCCUAACACAUGCAAGUCGAACGAGAAAGUCCCGCAAGGGAUGAGUACAGUGGCGCACGGGUGAGUAACACGUGACUAACCUACCUUCGAGUGGGGAAUAACCUCGGGAAACCGGGGCUAAUACCGCAUAACAUCAUCGGGUGAAAUUCCUGCUGAUCAAAAGUUUUUUGCUUGAAGAGGGGGUCGCGGCUGAUUAGCUAGUUGGUGAGGUGAUGGCUCACCAAGGCUGUGAUCAGUAGCCGGCCUGAGAGGGCGCACGGCCACACUGGAACUGAAACACGGUCCAGACUCCUACGGGAGGCAGCAGUGGGGAAUUUUGCGCAAUGGGGGAAACCCUGACGCAGCAACGCCGCGUGGAGGAUGAAGUCCCUUGGGACGUAAACUCCUUUCGACCGGGACGAAUAAUGACGGUACCGGAAGAAGAAGCCCCGGCUAACUUCGUGCCAGCAGCCGCGGUAAUACGAGGGGGGCAAGCGUUGUUCGGAAUUAUUGGGCGUAAAGGGCGCGUANGCGGUGCGGAAAGUCUUCAGUGAAAUCUCUGGGCUCAACUC
rnacentral:rRNA from 1 species